AGAGUUUGAUCAUGGCUCAGGACGAACGCUGGCGGCGCGCCUAACACAUGCAAGUCGAACGAGGUUGGACUUCGGUUUAACCGAGUGGCGGACGGGUGAGUAACACGUGAGCAAUCUGCCUCUGAGAGUGGAAUACCAGCCGGAAACAGCUGUUAAUACCGCAUAACGUAUCGGGAGGGCAUCCUCCUGGUACCAAAGAUUUAUCGCUCAGAGAUGAGCUCGCGUCCGAUUAGAUAGUUGGCGGGGUAACGGCCCACCAAGUCGACGAUCGGUAGCCGGACUGAGGGGUUGAACGGCCACAUUGGGACUGAGACACGGCCCAGACUCCUACGGGAGGCAGCAGUGGGGGAUAUUGCACAAUGGGGGAAACCCUGAUGCAGCGACGCCGCGUGCAGGAAGACGGUCCUCUGGAUUGUAAACUGCUGUGUUCAGGGACGAUAAUGACGGUACCUGAAUAGAAAGCUCCGGCUAACUACGUGCCAGCAGCCGCGGUAAUACGUAGGGAGCGAGCGUUGUCCGGAAUUACUGGGUGUAAAGGGAGCGUAGGCGGGAGAGCAAGUUGGAUGUGAAAACUGUCGGCUCAACUGACAGACUGCAUUCAAAACUGUUUUUCUUGAGUGAAGUAGAGGCAGGCGGAAUUCCUAGUGUAGCGGUGAAAUGCGUAGAUAUUAGGAGGAACACCAGUGGCGAAGGCGGCCUGCUGGGCUUUUACUGACGCUGAGGCUCGAAAGUAUGGGGAGCAAACAGGAUUAGAUACCCUGGUAGUCCAUACUGUAAACGAUGAUUACUAGGUGUGGGGGACUGACCCCUUCCGUGCCGGAGUUAACACAAUAAGUAAUCCACCUGGGGAGUACGGCCGCAAGGUUGAAACUCAAAGGAAUUGACGGGGGCCCGCACAAGCAGUGGAGUAUGUGGUUUAAUUCGAAGCAACGCGAAGAACCUUACCAGGUCUUGACAUCGUGCGCAUAGGGUAGAGAUAUCUGAAGUCCUUCGGGACGCAUAGACAGGUGGUGCAUGGUUGUCGUCAGCUCGUGUCGUGAGAUGUUGGGUUAAGUCCCGCAACGAGCGCAACCCUUAUGAUUAGUUGCUACGCAAGAGCACUCUAAUGAGACUGCCGCUGAUAAAACGGAGGAAGGUGGGGAUGACGUCAAAUCAUCAUGCCCCUUAUGACCUGGGCUACACACGUACUACAAUGGUAAUAAACAGAGGGAAGCAACACCGCGAGGUGAAGCAGACCCCAAAAAGUUAUCUCAGUUCAGAUUGCAGGCUGCAACUCGCCUGCAUGAAGUCGGAAUUGCUAGUAAUCGCGAAUCAGCAUGUCGCGGUGAAUACGUUCCCGGGCCUUGUACACACCGCCCGUCACACCAUGGGAGUCGGUAACACCCGAAGUCAGUAGCCUAACCGCAAGGAGGGCGCUGCCGAAGGUGGGAUUGAUGACUGGGGUGAAGUCGUAACAAGGUAGCCGUA
rnacentral:rRNA from 1 species